rnacentral:rRNA from 1 species
AGUCGCCGCGGUAAUACGGAGGGUGCAAGCGUUAAUCGGAAUUACUGGGCGUAAAGCGCACGCAGGCGGUCUGACAAGUCAGAUGUGAAAUCCCCGGGCUUAACCUGGGAACUGCAUUUGAAACUGUCAGGCUGGAGUCUUGUAGAGGGGGGUGGAAUUCCAGGUGUAGCGGUGAAAUGCGUAGAGAUCUGGAGGAAUACCGGUGGCGAAGGCGGCCCCCUGGACAAAGACUGACGCUCAGGUGCGAAAGCGUGGGGAGCAAACAGGAUUAGAUACCCCUGUAGUCCCUGUCUAUUAUACA